AUUGAACGCUGGCGGCAGGCCUAACACAUGCACGUCGAACGAGUGGCGGACGGGUGAGUAAUGUCUGGGAAACUGCCUGAUGGCGGGGGAUAACUACUAGAAACGGUAGCUAAUACCGCAUCCCAUCGGAUGUGCCCAGAUGGGAUUAGCGAGUAGGUGGGGUAACGGCUCACCUAGGCGACGAUCCCUAGCUUGUCUGAGAGGAUGAACAGCCAGACUGGAACUGAGACACGGUCCAGACUCCUACGGGAGGCAGCAGUGGUGAAUAUUGCACAAUGGGCGCAAGCCUGAUGCAGCCAGGCCGCGUGUAUGAAGAAGUCCUUCGGGUUGUAAAGUACUUUCAGCGGGGAGGCGUUACCCGCAGAAGAAGCACCGGCUAACGCCGUGCCAGCAGCCGCGGUAAUAC
rnacentral:rRNA from 1 species